CCGGUUUCAAAGUAAAGACCUGAGGAAGAAUGUGGAUUGAUCACUGUGAUUUCAAGUCCUUCAGGUGAUUGAUCACUGUGGUAAUUCAUUCUUUUGUCAAAAUUUGAUGACAAUUGGGGUUGGAGGGAAGCAACAAAAUUCCUAUCCUGUAAUAGACGUUUUUGGUGUGUGACUUGAUAGUUGUUCACGUCGAUACAAAAUUUCAUUCAUGUGGUUUUUUAAGGCAUUUGAAUUUAACAUUGUUUUUAUGAUUGUCUAAGAGCUGGAGCUGUUAAGACUUGAGACAGAUAUAUACAGGUAACAGGGGCCUACAAGAUCCAAUUCAUGUUAGUUACCUAUAACUCUGUACCUAAAUGCAUCUUUCAUAAUGUUAUUUCUGUAAUUUAUAGAAGUAAACAAAUUCCUUACAGGUUUGACAGUUCGUCAAAAUAAACAAGUAGUAUUGAUGGGUAAAGGUGGGUACUGAUUUAGUAUGAACAAGUCUGCAUGUUUUAGAACUUCUGUAUUUUCUGAGUUUUCUUUCCUUCAUGCAUUUUCCGAGCUUAUGUAUUUUUUGAGUUUUAGCAAGCUGAAAAUAUGGCGCUUAUUCAGAAAUGUUGGCAUAUCAAUAUCAUGUGCUUGCAUAUGUAGUAUCCAGAGAAAAAUGAUGUGCAAUGAUGAAUCCUGACAAUCUACACACACAUCACUGUAUUUUGUUCACUUGCUUGCUAUUUCUGGACUAUUAUUGAUGGAGCAGCAGAAGAGGCUUUUAGUGUUAUAAUAUAUGUUCGACUUAUAAAUUCAAUAGCUGAACAAAACUUUCAAAAAGAUUACUUUGACUGACUAAAGUAUGGACAUAUAUACCGCGUGUUAUCGUUUCUUCUUCUUCUUCACUUAACUACAUGUGAAGCUGAAGCUGAGCCAAUGUGCUUUUCCAGAAGAAACUGAGGCACAUCAAUCAAACGCCAACCCACCUGCUAUUGGCACUAAAUGAGGAAGGAAAAAGAACAUUGUCCCUGAAGGCUCGAGACACACAAACAGGAAACUGAGUUUGGGAAAGGUGGUUGUCUCCUUGAUGCACACCAUGGUGCCCUUGUCUACUCUCUGUCUUCUUCCUUGCACAGGUAUUUUAUUUCAAGAUUUCGUAAGUGGUCCGCACUGACAAAUGAAAUACGCAAAAAAAGAUACUUAUGUUGUUUUGUUCUUGCAAACACCUUAUUUACUGGUAGUAGGUUCUCUCAUAGCAUUUUUCGGUGGAGUUGUACUGACAUCUUUGACUGAAGUUUCUUUCAACUGGUUAGUUAUAAUCUUCCCAUUUCUGAAAUUUCAAAGUCAAAUGAUUGGGGAAUGCAUCACACUAUCCAUUAGUUCAGUCAAGCUCACAUUAUUGGCAAUUGAGUUAAGUCUUAUAUUUAUAUGCCUGUAACACUCAAAACUUUCUAAAAUGAGAAGUGAUAUGUUAAUUUUUGAAGAGACUGUGAUUAUGUUACAAGCAUAUACAUCACUGGCAAUGCGAAAAAAAUAUUAAUAAUACAUUUUCCCGUUAUUUUAGCUAAAAUAAUGGAGCACAUUUUAUUUUAUUUUAUUUGCAAUCUGAAGCUUGGUUGUACUUCAGUCUCUGGCAAUUGGUUUAUUUCUUGUGGUCAAUUUUGGAGCAGAUGAUGGGUUGUUGGUUGUAGUGAUUUGAUAUUUUAAUGACUAUUCAUAUCAAUGAUUAUGCUUGGCCCCAUGAGAAACACACGAGGUAGAAACGAUUGUGAGAUAGGGAGGGGAAUAGAAAGAUGACGAGGAGAUGCAUUUAUCUACCACAUCACAAGCAUGAAAUAUCAUCACAUGUCAAUUGUCUAUGACUCCCAUAUCAUAUAAAUAGAAAUCCAAUAUUUUUGUUUCUUGUGAAGUUGGUUCACUUUAUUCCCUUCCUGUUAGAGUUGAUGCUUGAGAUCUAGGGCCCAAACAAUUUGUGACCAUAGACUGCUCAGAGUUGUCCUAUUUGAUCUUCAAGUGCAACCCUUCCAUUGUUCUAUUGCAUCUCUGAGCCAUAUUAGCAUACAUUUCUAAUCAACAAUGAACUACCGGAUUUACUUCAUGUCAGUUGUUACUAUCUCUUAGAAAUUCUUUCUGCAUUCAUCAUAUAAGCAAUUAAAUUCACUAUCAGCAAAGUUCACUGCAAGUUUGCUGCACAAUUUUUAUUUGAUAGAUACACGUGAGAUUAUUAUUUUUCUUUACGUUUGUUGAAUAUAUGAAUAAUUCGUUUGAGAACAGGGACAAAACAUGACAAGAAAGGGGAAGAACUAACCUACAUGGAGCUUGGUCAAGGUCGUCGCUCAUGUUUGAUGGCAUUGUUUCUGGUUCCACCGACGUUGUCGAUGCCUAUUACCUAUGGCCCCUUUGCUGCUUUCCUCGGUCGGGCGUGGUCCAUCAGCCACUGCAUGCAGACAAUAGAAUUUAGGCCAGCAAUUGUCGCUUAUCUACGCUACAGAUCGACCCAUAGACAGGGAAAGGAAGCGAUGGUUGGUGGGGAGAGGAGCCGGGGGACGUGUUGUGACGGGACAAGAGGCGCAGUGGCAGGAAGAGAAGGUGAAGACUACGCCAUGUGAGUUGCUGAUGUUGUGCCUUAUGCGGUGGGGAUAAGGGAUGUGUGAUGUGCUUGUGUGGUGAGAGGCGAGGAGUGGCUUUUCCUUUUUGCGGGAGGCUGUUCAUUUUUGUCUAUUCUAUUUUUAUAUUCAAGAUACAUACAAUAUUUAUCAUCAUUAUAAUCGAGAUAAUAAAUAGUUAUUUAUUCCAUUAAUGUGUUGAGUUAUUUUGUUUUUGAUUUUAAU
rnacentral:lncRNA from 1 species